UACAGAGGUCCCAAGCGUUGUUCGGAUUCACUGGGCGUAAAGGGUGCGUAGGUGGUGAGGUAAGUCGGAUGUGAAAUCCCUCGGCUCAACCAAGGAAGUGCAUCCGAAACUGCUGAGCUUGAGUACUUAAGAGGAUCGCGGAAUUCCCGGUGUAGAGGUGAAAUUCGUAGAUAUCGGGAGGAACACCAGUGGCGAAGGCGGCGAUCUGGGAAGAUACUGACGCUGAGGUGCGAAAGCGUGGGGAGCAAACAGG
rnacentral:rRNA from 1 species